rnacentral:rRNA from 1 species
AUUGAACGCUGGCGGCAUGCUUUACACAUGCAAGUCGAACGGGCUUGGGGGCUUGCUCCCAAGUUAGUGGCGAACGGGUGAGUAAUACAUCGGAACGUACCGUGUAGUGGGGGAUAACGUAGCGAAAGUUACGCUAAUACCGCAUACGAUCUACGGAUGAAAGCAGGGGACCUUCGGGCCUUGUGCUAUACGAGCGGCCGAUGUCUGAUUAGCUGGUUGGUGAGGUAAAGGCUCACCAAGGCGACGAUCAGUAGCGGGUCUGAGAGGAUGAUCCGCCACACUGGGACUGAGACACGGCCCAGACUCCUACGGGAGGCAGCAGUGGGGAAUUUUGGACAAUGGGCGAAAGCCUGAUCCAGCCAUGCCGCGUGUCUGAAGAAGGCCUUCGGUUGUAAGGAC